rnacentral:rRNA from 1 species
AAAAAGCUCGUAGUUGAAUUUCGGGAUCAAUACGUCGGUCGUGCUUCGGUACGUACUGGCGUCAUUGAUUUCUCCCUUCUGACGAACCAUGAUGUCAUUAACUUGGUGUCAUGGGAAAUCAGGACUGUUACUUUGAAAAAAUUAGAGUGUUUAAAGCAGGCUCACGCUUGAAUACAUUAGCAUGGAAUAAUGAAAUAGGACGUUCGAUCCUAUUUUGUUGGUCUUUAGGAUCAACGUAAUGAUUAAUAGGGAUAGUUGGGGGCAUUAGUAUUCAAUUGUCAGAGGUGAAAUUCUUGGAUUUAUUGAAGACUAACUACUGCGAAAGCAUUUGCCAAGGAUG